rnacentral:rRNA from 1 species
GACGAACGCUGGCGGCGUGCUUAACACAUGCAAGUCGACCGGAGUGGCGAACGGGUGAGUAACACGUGGGUGACCUGCCCUGCACUUCGGGAUAAGCCUGGGAAACUGGGUCUAAUACCGGAUCGUGUGGGAUGGGCCCGCGGCCAAUGAGCUUGUUGGUGGGGUAAUGGCCUACCAAGGCGGCGACGGGUAGCCGGCCUGGGGGGGUGGACGGCCAAAAUGGGACAGAGACACGGACCAAAAGCCGACGGGAGGCAGCAGUGGGGAAUAUUGCAGAAGGGGGGAAAACCUGAUGCAGCAACGCGGCGGGCGGGAUGACGGCCGUCGGGUUGUAAACCGCGUUCAGACAUGACGCGGUAGUGGCAGAAGAAGCAACGGCUAACUUCGUGCCAGCAGCCGCGGUAAUUC